UACGGGGGGGGCAAGCGUUGUUCGGAAUUACUGGGCGUAAAGGGCUCGUAGGCGGCCAACUAAGUCAGACGUGAAAUCCCUCGGCUUAACCGGGGAACUGCGUCUGAUACUGGAUGGCUUGAGUGUGGGAGAGGGAUGCGGAAUUCCAGGUGUAGCGGUGAGAUGCGUAGAUAUCUGGAGGAACACCGGUGGCGAAGGCGGCAUCCUGGACCACGACUGACGCUGAGUGAGCGAAAGCCAGGGGAGCAAACGGG
rnacentral:rRNA from 1 species